rnacentral:misc_RNA from 1 species
GAUGAAGAACGUAGCGAAAUGCGAUAAGUAAUGUGAAUUGCAGAAUUCAGUGAAUCAUCGAAUCUUUGAACGCACAUUGCGCCCGCCAGUAUUCUGGCGGGCAUGCCUGUUCGAGCGUCAUUACAACCCUCAGGCCCCCGGGCCUGGCGUUGGGGAUCGGCGGAAGCCCCCUGCGGGCACAACGCCGUCCCCCAAAUACAGUGGCGGUCCCGCCGCAGCUUCCAUUGCGUAGUAGCUAACACCUCGCAACUGGAGAGCGGCGCGGCCACGCCGUAAAACACCCAACUUCUGAAUGUUGACCUCGAAUCAGGUAGGAAUACCCGCUGAACUUAAGCAUAUCAAUAAGCGGGAGGA